rnacentral:rRNA from 2 species
AAAUUGAACUCGCUGUGAAGAUGCAGUGUACCCGCGGCAAGACGGAAAGACCCCGUGAACCUUUACUAUAGCUUGACACUGAACAUUGAGCCUUGAUGUGUAGGAUAGGUGGGAGGCUUUGAAGCGUGGACGCCAGUCUGCGUGGAGCCGACCUUGAAAUACCACCCUUUAAUGUUUGAUGUUCUAACGUGGAUCCGUAAUCCGGGUUGCGGACAGUGUCUGGUGGGUAGUUUGACUGGGGCGGUCUCCUCCUAAAGAGUAACGGAGGAGCACGAAGGUUGGCUAAUCCUGGUCGGACAUCAGGAGGUUAGUGCAAUGGCAUAAGCCAGCUUGACUGCGAGCGUGACGGCGCGAGCAGGUGCGAAAGCAGGUCAUAGUGAUCCGGUGGUUCUGAAUGGAAGGGCCAUCGCUCAACGGAUAAAAGGUACUCCGGGGAUAACAGGCUGAUACCGCCCAAGAGUUCAUAUCGACGGCGGUGUUUGGCACCUCGAUGUCGGCUCAUCACAUCCUGGGGCUGAAGUAGGUCCCAAGGGUAUGGCUGUUCGCCAUUUAAAGUGGUACGCGAGCUGGGUUUAGAACGUCGUGAGACAGUUCGGUCCCUAUCUGCCGUGGGCGCUGGAGAACUGAGGGGGGCUGCUCCUAGUACGAGAGGACCGGAGUGGACGCAUCACUGGUGUUCGGGUUGUCAUGCCAAUGGCACUGCCCGGUAGCUAAAUGCGGAAGAGAUAAGUGCUGAAAGCAUCUAAGCACGAAACUUGCCCCGA